CUAUAUAUACCGACAUCCUUGGUCGCCAUGAUAUACUGCGGGACGGUCCGCGAACGGUGUAACGACGUUUAUUGAUUUAUAUAUUUUUAUUCAUAAUAAUAUUGUGAACGUGUGGACGGGUACCGAACACGAUUUUCGAUUACCCGGGUGAUUUUUUUUUUAAUAAAAGGAAACAAAAUAUAUCGAUUUAUUUUCCGGACGCUCUUUCAUGUUGUACCACCGGUCAUCAGGCAAUGAUGUAGAGCUAACCUGAAGACAUCUUAUGGAUUGGUGUGUCAUAUUUGAGCAAACGCCGAAGGAAUCAAUCGAUCAAUUAAGAAAAAAAAGAAAACCUACCCUCAAAUCUCAAAUGCUGUCAAAAAGAAAAAGAAAUUUAAACAUUCCUUUCAAAAUGAAAAAAUGAAAUGGAGGAUAUCAUCAAAUAAGUUGAAGACCCAUUUAAUUUAAAAAUAAUUUCUGAUAAGAAUUUAUCAACUUAACUUUCUUUUUU